rnacentral:rRNA from 1 species
AUGGGGGGAACCCUGACCGAGCAACGCCGCGUGAGUGAAGAAGGUUUUCGGAUCGUAAAGCUCUGUUGUUAAGGAAGAACGUGUGUGAGAGUGGAAAGUUCACACAGUGACGGUACUUAACCAGAAAGGGACGGCUAACUACGUGCCAGCAGCCGCGGUAAUACGUAGGUCCCGAGCGUUGUCCGGAUUUAUUGGGCGUAAAGCGAGCGCAGGCGGUUAGAUAAGUCUGAAGUGAAAGGCAGUGGCUCAACCAUUGUAGGCUUUGGAAACUGUUUAACUUGAGUGCAGAAGGGGAGAGUGGAAUUCCAUGUGUAGCGGUGAAAUGCGUAGAUAUAUGGAGGAACACCGGUGGCGAAAGCGGCUCUCCGGUCUGUAACUGACGCUGAGGCUCGAAAGCGUGGGGAGCGAACAGGAUUAGAUACCCUGGUAGUCCACGCCGUAAACGAUGAGUGCUAGGUGUUAGGUCCUUUCCGGGACUUAGUGCCGCAGCUAACGCAUUAAGCACUCCGCCUGGGGAGUACGACCGCAAGGUUGAAACUCAAAGGAAUUGACGGGGGCCCGCACAAGCGGUGGAGCAUGUGGUUUAAUUCGAAGCAACGCGAAGAACCUUACCAGGUCUUGACAUCCCGAUGCCCGCUCUAGAGAUAGAGCUUUACUUCGGUACAUCGGUGACAGGUGGUGCAUGGGUUGUCGUCAGCUCGUGUCGUGAGAUGUGG